rnacentral:tRNA from 1 species
GAGUUUGUAGCUCAGUUGGUAGAGCGCCAGAAUGUGGAUCUAGAGGUCAUGGGUUCGAGUCCCAUCAUUCUCCCCA